rnacentral:rRNA from 1 species
CGCUGGCGGCAUGCCUAACACAUGCAAGUCGAACGAGGACCUUCGGGUCUAGUGGCGCACGGGUGCGUAACGCGUGGGAAUCUGCCCCUUGGUUCGGAAUAACAGCGAGAAAUUGCUGCUAAUACCGGAUAAUGACGUAAGUCCAAAGAUUUAUCGCCAAGGGAUGAGCCCGCGUAGGAUUAGCUAGUUGGUGUGGUAAAGGCGCACCAAGGCGACGAUCCUUAGCUGGUCUGAGAGGAUGAUCAGCCACACUGGGACUGAGACACGGCCCAGACUCCUACGGGAGGCAGCAGUGGGGAAUAUUGGACAAUGGGCGAAAGCCUGAUCCAGCAAUGCCGCGUGAGUGAUGAAGGCCUUAGGGUUGUAAAGCUCUUUUACCCGGGAUGAUAAUGACAGUACCGGGAGAAUAAGCUCCGGCUAACUCCGUG